CACGCAUACUACUUAAUUUACACAUGCAAGUCUCCGNCACCCCUGUGAAAACGCCCUCNGAAUUUCUUUNAAGAAAUGAGGAGCCGGUAUCAGGCCCNAAAAAUUAGCCCAAGACACCUAGCUAUGCCACACCCACACGGGAGUUNCAGCAGUGAUUAACAUUGAAAAUAAGCGACNAGCUUGAAUCAGUUNAAAGUAAAAAGAGCCNGGCAAAUCUGGUGCCAGCCGCCGCGGUUACACCACGUGACUCAAACUGANCCUCUUCCGGCGUAAAGCGUGAUUNAAAGNCCCUCUUACCACUGCAAUUAAACCAGAACUGAGCUGUGACACGCCUAUNUCCUGAGAACCCCAAAANCCGAAAGUCAUUGCAACCCCUAANNACUUGAACUCACGACAGCUAGANAAACAAACUGGGAUUAGAUACCCCACUAUGCCUAGCCGUAAACCUUUAUUUACCUCCACACNNNNNNCGCCAGGGAACUACGAGCAAAGCUUAAAACCCAAAGGACUUGACGGUACCCCAUAUCCACCUAGAGGAGCCUGUCCUAUAAUCGAUAAUCCCCGCUUAACCUCACCAUUUUUAGCAUAUCAGCCUGUAUACCUCCGUCGUCAGCUUACCACAUGAGCGCCAANUUAGUGAGCUAAAUGCCCNNNNNNNNCUACGCCAACACGUCAGGUCAAGGUGCAGCAUAUAAAAUGGGAAGAGAUGGGCUACACUGUCUAAACUAGACUACACGGAAGACUAUAUAUGAAANCCUAGUCGGAAGGCGGAUUUAGAAGUAAAAAAAGACCAAAGCGCUUUUUUUAACUUNGGCACUGGGGUGUGUACACACCGCCCGUCACCCCUCUUNCGAAGCCCNAUACAAAGUCUUUNAACACNACUUCAGCACUUAAGAAGANGGCANAGUCGUAACAUGGUAAGU
rnacentral:ncRNA from 1 species